AGAUGGUACUGAAUGGAUAGUGUUAUAUAUACAGCCAUGCACUGGGUAGUUGGGUACAUAGUGCAUGGCUGUAUAUAUAACACUAUCCAUUCAUCUUUCAGC
ensembl:miRNA